ACCUGUUGCUGCAUUAGCCGAGUUGUAUUUUGCUAGAUAGGGGAAGGAGGGUUGUCUGCUGUCUGGUAGGAGGGCUUUGUCUGUGUGUGCCUUUCUCUCUCUCUCCCUCUCACACUCUCGCUUGCUCUCUCUCUCUCUCUCUCACUCCCUUUCCCGUCUCUGUGGUUUGUAAGGUAGGUUGCAGUGUGUGUAUAUACACAACAUCAAGAGCAGGAAAAUGGACUCAUUAGGGAGGCAGGCAGUCAUUACCACUCACACUGUACUUCCAGGGAGACAGCGACUAUGAGGAGACAAACUGAGGACUGGGGAAUAAGCUCAGUGGAAACACAGACAUACAUUUAUGACAUUGUGGAAUUGUCUUUGUUCGAGGAACAUGAUGUCCAAAAGGAGGAUCCUGAGGUUCAUUACUGAAUCAACUACCACAGGAACUUUGG